rnacentral:misc_RNA from 1 species
UCUCCGUUGGUGAACCAGCGGAGGGAUCAUUACCGAGUGCAAACUCAUAACCCUUUGUGAACCUAUAUCUGUUGCUUCGGCGGCUCGCUCUCGGGCGAUCCCGCCGGUAAUAUCAGUAUCUCUGUUUGAACCCGACGAUACUUCUGAGUGUUCUUAGCGAACAGUUAAAACUUUUAACAACGGAUCUCUUGGCUCUA